UGCGAGCGUUAAUCGGAAUUACUGGGCGUAAAGUGUGCGCAGGCGGCAAAGCAAGUCGAGUGUGAAAGCCCCGGGCUUAACUUGGGAAUUGCGCUCGAAACUACUUUGCUGGAGUGUGGCAGAGGAAGGUGGAAUUCCACGUGUAGCGGUGAAAUGCGUAGGGAUGUGGAGGAACACCAAUGGCGAAGGCAGCCUUCUGGGCCAACACUGACGCCCAUGCACGAAAGCGUGGGGAGCAAACAGG
rnacentral:rRNA from 1 species